rnacentral:lncRNA from 1 species
GGAUUUGUAGCCUGUUCGUUUGCUAGGAGCUGCUCGGAUAUUCUUUCUUUCUAGCACGUACGUGUAGUGAAUCAUUUUAUCUGUUCCAUCUUUUUCCUCUCUUCUUCCUUUUCAUUUUAGGAAAAUAGAGAACCCCAUGAUUUCUGCUUUGUCCCCUUUUCUGUAUUGUAUAGAGAGAGGUCCAGAUUAGGCUACACCACCUCAGCUGCUGUAACACUCUGGUGUUAAGCAAACUAAAACGUGACAUGUCAUCAUAUGCACCGGCAUUUCAUCUAAGUUGAUAACCUGGAUAUGCAUUC